CACGUAGGGUGCGAGCGUUGUCCGGAAUUAUUGGGCGUAAAGAGCUCGUAGGUGGUUCGGUAAGUCGGAUGUGAAAUCUCCAGGCUCAACCUGGAGGGGUCAUUCGAUACUGCCGUGACUAGAGUUCGGUAGAGGAGUGUGGAAUUCCUGGUGGAGCGGUGAAAUGCGCAGAGAUCAGGAGGAACACCCGUAGCGAAGGCGGCACUCUGGGCCGAUACUGACAUUGAGGAGCGAAAGCGUGGGGAGCGAACAGG
rnacentral:rRNA from 1 species